ACUCAAAGGAAUAGACGGGGGCCCGCACAAGCGGUGGAGCAUGUGGUUUAAUUCGACGCAACGCGAAGAACCUUACCUGGGCUCGAAAUGUAGUGGAAGUCAGCAGAAACGUUGGCGCCCGCAAGGGCCGCUAUAUAGGUGCUGCAUGGCUGUCGUCAGCUCGUGUCGUGAGAUGUUGGGUUAAGUCCCGCAACGAGCGCAACCCUUAUCUUUAGUUGCCAUGUCGCAAGACGGAACUCUAAAGAAACUGUCGGCCACAAGCCGAAGGAAGGUGGGGAUGACGUCAAGUCCUCACGGCCUUUAUGUCCAGGGCUACACACGUGCUACAAUGGGCGGCACAAAGCGUCGCAAACCCGCGAGGGGGAGCCAAUCGCAAAAAGCCGCUCUCAGUUCGGAUUGCAGUCUGCAACUCGACUGCAUGAAGCUGGAAUCGCUAGUAAUCGCGGAUCAGCACGCCGCGGUGAAUACGUUCCCGGGCCUUGUACACACCGCCCGU
rnacentral:rRNA from 1 species